AUCCUUUUCUGGUUCAUAAGUGUGAUUAGUGAGUUCUGACGAGCUUGCAUGACAUGUGCCUCCCUCUAAGUCUUGUUACAAUCUGAGCACAAGACCUAUCUCACA
rfam:Dipodomys ordii contig_55416, whole genome shotgun sequence.